GUCAAGGGUCCACUGUAUUGGGUAAAAGGAACUGCUAUGGAUAGGAUCUUAUUAAUGUAGUGGACAGUGAUUUUUCCCCUUCAUGUUUACUGGGAGAAUCUCAGAGCACCAAGAGAUGAAGUUACAAAAGUGAAGCUCCCCUUUUUCCAACAUGUUUGGGUCCCUCUGGAUAUUUCUCAGCAUUGUUCACGUUGAGUAGCCACCAAUUCAUCAAUUAUAAUGUAGAUUUUUCUGGCCACAUCACUGGUUCGCAGGAGGAUUUCUGCUCUGACUUUGUUGUACUGGCAUUUGUGAAUUGUGUACCAUGUGGAAGGUGGACGAAGAGAGGAAUGGGACACGGAAUAGGGGUAUGCCAAUAGAAAAGGAGGGAGGUCAGAGAGCAGCUGAGCUGGGGUAUAUUUGUAUUCAGUCAUAUUCCCAGGAGAGAAGGAAAGAAGUUUGGUGAGCCAGUUUCUGCCACAAAGCUAAAGCAAAUAAAAGCAAAUUAAACCAGGAGUUUCACCAGGAGGUUGAAGGAAUCAUCAAUGCCAAGAGCAGUGUUCCUACUGAUGACGAUAUGGAGAGAGCAUGAAGGGUUGACUGAGCGCUUGUGAUCUUCCCACCUGUGAAAAAGAGAAGCAUCAACCUCAAAAAAUAUCAUAAACAAUGCCUCUGGUCUGAUUCCAAGCAGAUAAAUAUAAAUAAGAUGUGGCCACACACACUGGAUUACAAGAUAUUGCUGGAGAAUUCCCUUCAGAUGUUGCUGGAAGCCCCACCAGGAAGAACUCACCCUCCUAUGACUCUGUUAUCAGACCUUACUAAUGAGGCCAAAUGGCUGUGCAGGUCACUGCCUGCUUUGCACCUGUGUGAACUGUAGCAUCACUGCAGUACUCAGCCAGGCAGCAAAACCCUUUCAUGUAAGGGCUGAAAAUGCAUCCUGAUAUUAAGGAAGAAUCAUUCAAAGGACAGAAGUGCUUUUUCUCUUGUAGGUUAUCUGAACCAUUUACCAUUUAUUUAAGUCCAUGAAAAUUUGAAUAAAUUAUCUGAGAACCAUAAACAAUAUUUCCUCUUAGGCUUCACAUGAAGAUGAAUCAUACAAGCUGUAUCAGUUGAAUAGAGAGGAGGUAACAGCACCACGAUGAAUUGGAGUUGUUUACAUGUAGAGAAAUAACAUAAUUAGUGUAUGGGAGAGAGGCAGAAAGAAAUAACGUUCUAGUAAAGCUCAGUUGUGCCUUGAGAUCUUUUCUCUUGGUUAUGAGGUGGCUGGUUUCAUAACAGACUUGAUCCCUUUGUUGGACUCAGUAGCUGUCUCUGUGAAGCUAAGGCUUAACUUUGCUUCAACACAAGAACUUAAUGCUGUGUCAGUGCAUGAGGAGUUGCCCCCAUAUUCCCAAGUUACUGUGGUGAAAAUAGUUGAUCAUUGCAUUCACUUCAUUCUCUUUCAAGUGCUUUGUCUACUGUGGAAUCUAGAAAGCCAAACACAACAUUUUCCAGAUUCUGUUUCAGCUAACAUUGCUGGUAUACAGUGUGGGCCCUGAGGAGUUAGGAAUCUAGAGAUAGUCUAGAGCAUGUUUAGGAUGGCCACUUCCAGCUGGGCUCUGAUCUCAAGAAUGAGCAUGUGGAUUACUAUGACAUUUUAAGGGUCCCAGCCAGCCUAUGUGCUGGCUGUAGGCAAAGAACCAAGAUG